UACGUAGGGGGCAAGCGUUGUCCGGAUUUAUUGGGCGUAAAGAGCGUGUAGGCGGCUAGAUAGGUCCGUUGUGAAAACUCGAGCUCAACCUCGAGACGCCGGUGGAAACCAUCUAGCUAGAGUCCGGAAGAGGAGAGUGGAAUUCCUGGUGUAGCGGUGAAAUGCGUAGAUAUUGGGAGGAACACCAGUGGCGAAGGCGGCUCGCUGGACCAGUUCUGACGCUGAGGCGCGAAAGCGUGGGGAGCAAACGGGG
rnacentral:rRNA from 1 species